rnacentral:rRNA from 1 species
UACGCAGGGGGCGAGCGUUGUCCGGAUUUAUUGGGCGUAAAGAGCGUGUAGGCGGCCAGGUAGGUCUGCUGUGAAAACUCGAGGCUCAACCUCGAGACGCCGGUGGAAACCAUCAGGCUAGAGUCCGGAAGAGGAGAGUGGAAUUCCUGGUGUAGCGGUGAAAUGCGCAGAUAUCAGGAAGAACACCCGUGGCUAAGGCGGCUCUCUAGUACGGUACUGACGCUGAGACGCGAAAGCGUGGGGAGCGAACAGG